CUGCUCUCUGCUUCCGGUUUGCGGUCGGAGAUGCGAUCUCUCCAGUGCUGUGCCUCCCACGCCGUGAUGGGCCACCUCAAACUUUCUGACAACAGAGCUGGGAAAUUCUAAGAAGUUAUUCUACCAUUAAACCUCAGGUGUCUCGAUGAUGAUGAUGACGAUGAUGACAGUGAUGACGACGAUGACUCAAGAGGUUGGAGAGAGAGCCCAGAAGUUAGGAGCAAUUGGUUGUUUGUGCAGAGAACCUGAGUUCAAUUCCCAGGACCCACAUGGCAACUCAUAACCAACUAUAACUCCACUUUCAUGGGAUCUGGUGCUCUCUUCCGGUCUCAGCAGGAAUCAGACGUUGUGCACAGACAUACAUGUGAGCAAACACUCAUAGACACGGAGUAAAUAAAUCUAAAAAAAAGUUAAUUAAUGAAAAACCAAUGGUUAAUUAAAAAGUCAACUUAAACUCA
rnacentral:sRNA from 1 species